GGGACUCCAUUGAUCACCUUCUUACCUCCCUUACUCUCUUUCUUCUGUGCAAGGAGCCGGACCGAGAGCAGUGGCGCCGGAGGGGGGAGGAUCUCCAACUCGCCACCACAUUGUGCCGCCGGAGCAGACAUAGGAGCUCGCCGGAAACAUUUCACGGCUCCUCGGAGCUAGGUAAACUUCUAACUCCUCCAUUUACAUGCUGUUAAGCUGGAUCUAACCUAGCUAGGAGAUGGUUAAUAGUGAAAGAUGGGUAGGGAGAUGUUGUAGUAGAGGGGAAGAUCUCAUCAUGGGCGGCAUUCAUCCGACACUGGAUCGGUUGACCGAAAACCAUUGAUGGCCCAUGUUGAAGAACCUUCCCCUCCACUCAACAGUGGCUUCCCCUUCCUAUUAAAACCCUAGAUCUAAAAAUCCAAAGAUGAACCUACCUCUCGAUUCAUGGGGAGGGUCCUCGGCUCGUGCAAGUUCGGUUUCCAUAGGUGGAACCGGCUUGAUCUAUGACCGGAGGAGAGGAGCCGAAGGGGGAUCUCCCCAUUUUGNNNNNNNNNNNNNNNNNNNNNNNNNNNNNNNCAGGGCACUGCGGACGCCAUCGGGCCGACCACAGACAUCGGCCGUCCUCUACGCGAGCACCCCCGGCUUCGGCUGGGCCCCGCUGCUCCUCGAUGGGUGCCGCACCCCAUCUCCUCCACCGGAGGUGGAGGAGGAGAGCGGCCAUUUGGGCCGCGGCCACUGCAGGAGGGGCCACGGCCGCCGUAGUCGCCGCUGGUUGGCCGCAGCCCCACCAGUUCCGGGUCGGCUUCCUCCUGAGCAUUUCCGAACUCGCCCCCUUGCUUCAGGGGAGAAGAGGAGAAAAGGAGGGAGAGGAGAUCGGGACGAAAGAAGAGAGGAAGGGGGAAAGGAAGAUUCGGGAAGGGAGGAGAAGAAAGAAAAGAAAAAGAAGGAAGAAAAGAAAAAGAAGGAAGAAAAAAAGAAAAGAAAAAGGAAAAGAAAGAAAGAAAAAAAAAUGAAAAGUUCAGUGGGCCGAAUUGGGCAUGAUUUCAAGUUGGGCUUCAAAUAAAUUUGGCUCUGGGAGCCUGAAAUCGGGCUAGGCCCUGGUUUGAGCCCAAUAAUAUUAAACCCAGUAAUUGGGCCAGACCUGAACCAGUAAUUGGGUCAGAUCUGAACCAGUAUACAAUUGGCUCAGACCUGAACCAGAAACUUGGGUCAAACUCGAAUUAGAAAUUGUUUAGACCAAAAUCAGACAUUGGGUCAGACCCAAAUUGAUGAUUUGAGUUGACCCAAAUUAGAAAUUGAACCAGGUUUGAGACCUAACAGUGAAGUUGAGUCCUAUAGAUGAGUUGAAAAAUGGUUAAUUAAGAAAGAUUGUAAUUAAAGUUGAACGUGAAAUUGACAAGUAAUUUAAUGAUGUUUUUAGGUAAUUGAAGAAUUGGCACUCAAAAUCUAAAGUUGGUGGGCAAUCUAAGGUAAGUAACCUUGAGAUAAUCUUAUGGUUUAUCAAUAGAUGUGAUUACAUGAUUAUGAAAUUUGUAUAUGAUUAUUUAUGUUUCUACAAAAUUAGGAUCAAGCAUGAGUUAGCAAUAGUUGCAUGAUUUUAAUUAAAUGACAUUCAUCAUGAUUAUCAUAUUAUGUAUAUAAAUUUAUGAUGGUACAUAAGUUGCACGAAAAUCAAGGUUUUCAGCAUGAUCAUGAAUUCUAUUUAUCAUGAUGCCAUUAUCCAUUUUCCAAUGUUUCUAUGAAAUAAGAAUUAUGAAAAGCAUGAUAUGUUUUUAAGAACUCUCAGAUCGCUAUGUAUGACCCCCGCCAGUGGGUAAUAGUAACUAGGCAUAUGACCCCCGCCAGUGGGUAAAAGUAACUUGGCUUUAUGACCCCCGCCAGUGGGUAAUAGUAACUGGAAGAACACCCUGCAGUGGUAAAGGCCUUGCCGUGGGAAUAAGAGCGGUCAUAGCUGCACUACUAUCUGAGAGUACGGAUUUCAAAGCACGGAGUAAUGGCAAAAGUUUUUAUGAUGCAUAAUCAUAUUUAUGAAGUUGCAUGAAUGGACAUGCAUAGUUUUAUGACCGGUUUUAUUACAUAAAUGCUUUCUUUAUUUAAAAUGUUUGUUCUUUGAAUAAUGUAUUUGCAUGCAAAACAUUAUGCUUGAUCCGAUAAGAUUAUGCUUGUUUACUUACUGGGUUUUAUAGCUCACACCAUUUUAUUAUGUUUUUACAGAUGAAUAAGAGAUGAUAGGAACAAGGAGCGUAACAUGCUCCAGGUUUAUGGGAAAGACAAAUGUUAAUUGUAGAUAUGGUUUUUAGAAGCUUUGUAUGCAUUUUAAUACAUAAACAUUUAAUGACUUUCAUGAAUAUAGUUGUUUACAAUUUGAAGUUUUAAA
rnacentral:lncRNA from 1 species